CAGUCGCCGCGGGAAAACGUAGGUGGCAAGCGUUGUCCGGAAUUAUUGGGCGUAAAGGGCUCGCAGGCGGUUUCUUAAGUCUGAUGUGAAAGCCCCCGGCUCAACCGGGGAGGGUCAUUGGGAACUGGGAAACUUGAGUGCAGAAGAGGAGAGUGGAAUUCCACGUGUAGCGGUGGAAUGCGUAGAGAUGUGGAGGAACACCAGUGGCGAAGGUGACUCUCUGGUCUGUAACUGACGCUGAGGAGCGAAAGCGUGGGGAGCGAACAGGAUUAGAUACCCCAGUAGUCCCUGUCUCUUAUAC
rnacentral:rRNA from 1 species